rnacentral:rRNA from 1 species
AUGAACGCUGGCGGCGUGCCUAAUCCCUGCCAGUCGAGCGAACGGACGAGAAGCUUGCUUCUCUGAUGUUAGCGGCGGACGGGUGAGUAACACGUGGAUAACCUACCUAUAAGACUGGGAUAACUUCGGGAAACCGGAGCUAAUACCGGAUAAUAUUUUGAACCGCAUGGUUCAAAAGUGAAAGACGGUCUUGCUGUCACUUAUAGAUGGAUCCGCGCUGCAUUAGCUAGUUGGUAAGGUAACGGCUUACCAAGGCAACGAUGCAUAGCCGACCUGAGAGGGUGAUCGGCCACACUGGAACUGAGACACGGUCCAGACUCCUACGGGAGGCAGCAGUAGGGAAUCUUCCGCAAUGGGCGAAAGCCUGACGGAGCAACACCGCGUGAGUGAUGAAGGUCUUCGGAUCGUAAAACUCUGUUAUUAGGGAAGAACAUAUGUGUAAGUAACUGUGCACAUCUUGACGGUACCUAAUCAGAAAGCCACGGCUAACUACGUG